CAGCAGCCACGGGAAUACGAAGGGGGCUAGCGUUGCUCGGAAUGACUGGGCGUAAAGGGCGCGUAGGCGGCGAUCAAAGUCAGGCGUGAAAUUCCUGGGCUCAACCUGGGGGCUGCGCUUGAUACUUGGUUGCUUGAGUGGGGAAGAGGGUCGUGGAAUUCCCAGUGUAGAGGUGAAAUUCGUAGAUAUUGGGAAGAACACCGGUGGCGAAGGCGGCAACCUGGUCCUUGACUGACGCUGAGGCGCGAAAGCGUGGGGAGCAAACAGGAUUAGAUACCCGUGUAGUCCCUGUCUCUUAUAC
rnacentral:rRNA from 1 species